rnacentral:rRNA from 1 species
UUGACUGUGCUAAGGUAGCAUAAUAAAUUGGCUUUUAAUUGAAGUCGGGAAUGAAAGGGUGUUUGGAGUUAUUCUGUCUUAUUUUUAUUUUUUAAAAGUUACUAAUGAGGUGAAAAUUCCUCAAUAUUAUUUGAUAGACGAGAAGACCCUAAGAAUUAUUACAAUUAUUAAAAUAAAUUAAUAAAAGUUUUUGUUGGGGCAACAACUUUGGAAAUAAAUAACCAAAGUUAAAUUUAUUAUGAAUAUAAAAAGAUUAUAUUAAAAAUGAAUUUAAUUACCUUAGGGAUAACAGCAUAAUUAUAUUUUAGAUUGUGACCUCGAUGUUGGAUUANGGCCU